rnacentral:rRNA from 1 species
UUGCCCUAGUAACGGCGAGUGAAGCGGCAACAGCUCAAAUUUGAAAUCUGGCUCUUUUAGAGUCCGAGUUGUAAUUUGCAGAGGGCGCUUUGGCUUUGGCAGCGGUCCAAGUUCCUUGGAACAGGACGUCACAGAGGGUGAGAAUCCCGUACGUGGUCGCUGGCUAUUGCCGUGUAAAGCCCCUUCGACGAGUCGAGUUGUUUGGGAAUGCAGCUCUAAAUGGGAGGUACAUUUCUUCUAAAGCUAAAUAUUGGCCAGAGACCGAUAGCGCACAAGUAGAGUGAUCGAAAGAUGAAAAGCACUUUGGAAAGAGAGUCAAACAGCACGUGAAAUUGUUGAAAGGGAAGCGCUUGCAGCCAGACUUGCUUACAGUUGCUCAUCCGGGUUUUUACCCGGUGCACUCUUCUGUAGGCAGGCCAGCAUCAGUUUGGGCGGUAGGAUAAAGGUCUCUGUCACGUACCUCCUUUCGGGGAGGCCUUAUAGGGGAGACGACAUACUACCAGCCUGGACUGAGGUCCGCGCAUCUGCUAGGAUGCUGGCGUAAUGGCUGUAAGCGGCCCGUCUUGAAACACGGACCAAGGAGUCUAACAUCUAUGCGAGUGUUUGGGUGUCAAGCCCGAGCGCGUAAUGAAAGUGAACGGAGGUGGGAACCCGCAAGGGUGCACCAUCGACCGAUCCUGAUGUCUUCGGAAGGAUUUGAGUAAGAGCAUGGCUGUUGGGACCCGAAAGAUGGUGAACUAUGCUUGAAUAGGGUGAAGCCAGAGGAAACUCUGGUGGAGGCUCGCAGCGGUUCUGACGUGCAAAUCGAUCGUCAAAUUUGGGCAUAGGGGCGAAAGACUAAUCGAACUAUCUAGUAGCUGGUUCCUGCCGAAGUUUCCCUCAGGAUAGCAGUAACGUAUUCAGUUUUAUGAGGUAAAGCGAAUGAUUAGAGGCCUGGGGGUUGAAACAACCUUCACCUAUUCUCAAACUUUAAAUAUGUAAGAAGUCCUUGUUACUUAA